rnacentral:rRNA from 1 species
UACAGAGGGUGCGAGCGUUGUUCGGAAUUACUGGGCGUAAAGCGCGCGCAGGCGGCCCUUUAAGUCCGCUGGUGAAAGCCCGGGGCUCAACCCCGUGUCAGCCAGGGAUACUGGAGGGCUGGAGACAGGUAGAGGCAAGCGGAAUUCCGGGUGUAGCGGUGGAAUGCGUAGAGAUCCGGAAGAACACCGGAGGCGAAGGCGGCUUGCUGGACCUGGUCUGACGCUGAGGCGCGAAAGCGUGGGGAGCGAACAGG